GGUUAUAGAAAAAUACUGGAAGUAUGUACUGUGCUCAGUCAUUAUAAAAAAGAAGACUGACUAAAACAGAAAAUACUGCAACAUUACAACUUGCAGUUACCUGUUCAAGAACAACAAAAAUCAGCUAGUAAAGUUUUGAUAUCAUUCUUGCACAUUCUUGUUGCUUCAUAACAGGUAACUGGUUAUGAUACUGAUCAAAAAUUUGGUUUUUUGAAAGGUAUUUUGACCUGCUAAAAGCUCAUACAGUUGAAGUUAUAUUAAGGUAGAGCAGUUUGGGCUCUUUGGAAGUUUUAAUAAUUCACAGUUAUAUAAGGAAUGGUAAGUUAUCUAAUUAUCUGGAAGACCUAUGAAAAUGUUGAAAAGCUAAGACUUAGUUCAUUAAAAUAGAUUUAAUUAUUAAGGAGUCAAAUAUAGAUGAAAGAAAAGAUGAUUGUAAAAUAAAAUUAACAUGAACAAACUUUAGCAAUUAUUUUGUCACAGACUGAGCAAACACAUUAAGAUGAUUUUGGGGGGCCAAAAAC
rnacentral:lncRNA from 1 species